UGUUGUUUUUUUUUUCUUCUUUCGUUCUUUCUUCCAGCGGUUCUCCUCCUCCGUGAUUUCGCGUGCUCCCUCUACUCCGCCGAGAGAGAAUUUUUUUAUUUUUCUUAAAUAAUUAUCAUUAUUAUUAGGCGUACACCCGGGAGACAAGACACGGCGCGCGGUUCGUGAAUACCGCUACGCCAAAUUCAAGGUUGUCUUGUCGCACAGGUUCAAUAACUCCCGGUAACCUGCUGCUGUACAACAAGCAGCCGGAGGCCAAUCAUAAUCGACUGCUACCUCCGAGGUAUACAAAAUAUUAUUAUA